GGACGAUUAGCUCAGUUGGUCAGAGCAGGACCUUUACACGGUCAAGGUCGGGGGUUCGAAUCCCUCAUCGUCCACCA
rnacentral:tRNA from 1 species